rnacentral:rRNA from 1 species
AACGUAGGGACACAAGCGUUAUCCGGAGUUACUGGGCGUAAAGGGCUCGUAGGCGGCCAACUAAGUCAGACGUGAAAUCCCUCGGCUUAACCGGGGAACUGCGUCUGAUACUGGAUGGCUUGAAUCCGGGAGAGGGAUGCGGAAUUCCAGGUGUAGCGGUAGAAAUGCGUAGAUAUCAUCUGGAACGCCAACGGUGAAAACAGCUCGCUGGGGGUGUGCUGACGCUGAGACACGAAAGCCAGGGGAGGCAAACGGGAUUA